GGCGAUCAGAUACCGCCCUAGUUCUGACCGUAAACGAUGCCAACUAGCGAUCCGCCAGUCGACUCAUCGCUCUGGUGGGGAGCUUCCCGGAAACGAAAGUCUUCCGGUUCCGGGGGAAGUAUGGUUGCAAAGCUGAAACUUAAAGGAAUUGACGGAAGGGCACCACCAGGAGUGGAGCCUGCGGCUUAAUUUGACUCAACACGGGGAAACUCACCCGGCCCGGACACCGUAAGGAUUGACAGAUUGAUAGCUUUUUCAUGAUUCGGUGGAUGGUGGUGCAUGGCCGUUCUUAGUUCGUGGAGCGAUUUGUCUGGUUUAUUCCGAUAACGAGCGAGACUCUGGCCUACUAAAUAGUUGACGCAUUGCCACUGUGCGCACAACUUCUUAGAGGGAUUUUCGGUGUUUUCAACCGCACGAAAUUGAGCAAUAACAGGUCUGUGAUGCCCUUAGAUGUCCGGGGCUGCACGCGCGCUACACUGGCAAACGCAACGUGCCUGUCCUGCUCCGAAAGGAGCGGGUAAACCCCUGAAAUUUUGCCGUGAUUGGGAUCGGACAUUGCAAUUAUUGUCCGUGAACGAGGAAUUCCUUGUAGGGGCGAGUCAUCAACUCGUCCCGAAUACGUCCCUGCCCUUUGUA
rnacentral:rRNA from 1 species